UAGCUUAAUGGUAGAUCAUAGCCUUACCAAGGCUAAGGUUGAGGGUUCAAGUCCCUC
rnacentral:tRNA from 1 species